rfam:Schistosoma haematobium scaffold118_4, whole genome shotgun sequence.
AUUCAGCUGAUGAGUCCAAAAUAUAACGAAACGCGCAUCCUGGAG